rnacentral:rRNA from 1 species
UACGGAGGGGGCUAGCGUUGUUCGGAAUUACUGGGCGUAAAGCGCGCGUAGGCGGCUUUGUAAGUUAGAGGUGAAAGCCCGGAGCUCAACUCCGGAAUUGCCUUUAAGACUGCAUCGCUAGAAUCAUGGAGAGGUUAGUGGAAUUCCGAGUGUAGAGGUGAAAUUCGUAGAUAUUCGGAAGAACACCAGUGGCGAAGGCGACUAACUGGACAUGUAUUGACGCUGAGGUGCGAAAGCGUGGGUAUCAAACAGG